rnacentral:rRNA from 1 species
AAACAUGUCUUUUUUGCAGUUAUAAUAGAAAGUCAUACCUGYUCAUUGAAUUUUUAGGAUUUUUUAACAGCCGCAGUAUUUCUGACUGUGCGAAGGUAGCAUAAUAUAUUGUCUUUUAAUUGAAGGCUAGUAUGAAUGGUUUGACAUUAAAUUUACUGUCUUUAUUUGUAGAUAAGAAAUUAAUUUUUAGUUAAAAUUCUAAAGUAAUAUUAAGGGACAAUAAGACCCUAUAAAAUUUUACUUGCUUUGUGUUAUGGAGUAGUUAUUAUUAUUUUAAUUUUUAGUCAAGUUUGAUUGGGGAGAUUUUUAUAAAGAUUUAUUUAUCUGUAAAUUACUUUGCUACAUGUUUUAUGAAAAAUCAGUUUUUAUUUUAAAUGACCUUUAUAAAUCCUUGGGAUUAAAUUACUUUAGGGAUAACAGCGUUAUUUUUUUUAGAGUUCUUAUCAAAAAAAAAGUUUACGACCUCGAUGUUGAAUUAAGGAUCUUUUUAGGGGUAAAAGC